rnacentral:rRNA from 3 species
GGACUACUGGGGUUUCUAAUCCCGUUCGCUCCCCUGGCUUUCGCGCCUCAGCGUCAGAAAAGGUCCAGCAGUCCGCUUUCGCCACCGGCGUUCCUUCCGAUAUCAACGCAUUUCACCGCUCCACCGGAAGUUCCGACUGCCCCUACCUCCCUCCAGACCUCCAGUAUCCAAGGCACUUUUCCGGUUAAGCCGAAAGCUUUCACCCCGGACUGGGAGGCCCGCCUACGCGCCCUUUAAGCCCAGUGAUUCCGAACAACGUUCGCACGGUUCGUCUUACCGCGGCGGCUGGCAC